rnacentral:rRNA from 1 species
GUAGGUGGCAAGCGUUGUCCGGAAUUAUUGGGCGUAAAGCGCGCGCAGGCGGUUUUUUAAGUCUGAUGUGAAAGCCCACGGCUCAACCGUGGAGGGUCAUUGGAAACUGGAGAACUUGAGUACAGAAGAGGAAAGCGGAAUUCCACGUGUAGCGGUGAAAUGCGUAGAGAUGUGGAGGAACACCAGUGGCGAAGGCGGCUUUCUGGUCUGUAACUGACGCUGAGGCGCGAAAGCGGGGGGUAGCAAACAGGGAUUAGAUACCCUGGUAGUCCACGCCGUAAACGAUGAGUGCUAAGUGUUAGGGGGUUUCCCGCCCCUUAGUGCUGCAGCUAACGCAUUAAGCACUCCGCCUGGGGAGUACGGCCGCAAGGCUG